AUUGAACGCUGGCGGCAUGCCUAACACAUGCAAGUCGAACGGCAGCACAGCAGUAGCAAUACUGUGGGUGGCGAGUGGCGGACGGGUGAGGAAUACGUCGGAAUCUGCCCAGUCGUGGGGGAUAACUAGCCGAAAGGUUAGCUAAUACCGCAUACGACCGAGAGGUGAAAGCGGGGGACCGCAAGGCCUCGCGCGAUUGGAUGAGCCGACGUCGGAUUAGCUAGUUGGCGGGGUAAAGGCCCACCAAGGCGACGAUCCGUAGCUGGUCUGAGAGGAUGAUCAGCCACACUGGAACUGAGACACGGUCCAGACUCCUACGGGAGGCAGCAGUGGGGAAUAUUGGACAAUGGGGGCAACCCUGAUCCAGCCAUUCCGCGUGAGUGAAGAAGGCCUGGUUGUAAGACUCUUCGGUCAGGAACGAAACGGUAGGAGGGCGUAAUAUACCCUUGCUAAUGACGGUACCGUCGAAGAAGAAGACACCGGC
rnacentral:rRNA from 1 species